rnacentral:lncRNA from 1 species
AACUAGUCUUGUGCCUCUCCACGUCAUCGAGUGUGCCAAAGGCAUCCUCCAAUACUUGAAGCAUGUCCUUUGGCUGAGCUGUCUCAAAUCUGCGAUUGAACUCGUUGCUCAUGGUAGCUAGCAUGAUACAGUGCACCGUGAUCCGAUCACUGAGCUACUUCUAAUAAGUAUCUUUGACUAUUCCACGUGCAUUGGCAGCUAGCUCCUCAGGUGCAGGAUCCGUUAUC